UAUGAGCGAGUGGAAGAGAGUCCCCUCACGUGACCCUCUGGUUGUUCUCUUUCCUCACGUCAAAAACCCUAAACCCCUACAAUUCCAUCUUGAUUCUCUGCUCUGCAACUAAUGAGUCUUUGCCCAGCGGUUUCUAGGGUGUGGUUUUGCUUUGAGGUGCUUUGGUCUCUAUAUGCCAAAUCCAGGUAAUUUCUCUUGUAAGAUCUUUCUUUUUUUGAAUCAAUCUCUGUCGAAAUGGCUAAGCUUCCUUUGAAGAGUUUGCUUUGUUUGAUGCAAAAACGUUUCCUCACAACAUCUCCAACCCUGUAUAUAUCUUCGUUGUCUUCUGCAUCUUCAACAUUAUUAUCACCAUCGUACACAGCCCAAUUUCUUGUGAAAUCUUAAGGGCUU
rnacentral:lncRNA from 1 species